rnacentral:rRNA from 1 species
UGGUUGAUUCUGCCAGUAGUCAUAUGCUUGUCUCAAAGAUUAAGCCAUGCAUGUCUAAGUAUAAGCAAUUAUACGGCGAAACUGCGAAUGGCUCAUUAAAUCAGUUAUCGUUUACUUGAUAGACCCAUACUACUUGGAUAACCGUGGUAAUUCUAGAGCUAAUACAUGCGAAAAACCGCGAUUUCGGAAGCGGUGUAUUUAUUAGAUUAAAGACCAAUGCCCUUCGGGGCUGACUGGUGAUUCAUGAUAACUUCACGAAUCGCACGGCCUUGCGCCGGCGAUGGCUCAUUCAAAUUUCUGCCCUAUCAACUUCGACUUUAGUGUAGUGGACUAAAGUGGUUGCAACGUGUAACGGAGGGUUAGGGCUCGACCCCGGAGAAGGAGCCUGAGAGACGGCUACUACAUCCAAGGAAGGCAGCAGGCGCGCAAAUUACCCAAUCCCGACCCGGGGAGGUAGUGACAAUAAAUACUGAUACAGGGCUCUUUUGGGUCUUGUAAUUGGAAUGAGUACAAUUUAAAUCUCUUAACGAGGAACAAUUGGAGGGCAAGUCUGGUGCCAGCAGCCGCGGUAAUUCCAGCUCCAAUAGCGUAUAUUAAAGUUGUUGUGGUUAAAAAGCUCGUAGUUGAACCUGGGCCUCGCGCAGACCGGUCCGCCUCACCGCGUGCACUGGUCCUGCCGGGGCUUUCACUAGGGGAUUCGCAUGUCCUUCACUGGGCGUGUGCGGAACCUGGACUUUUACUGUGAAAAAAUUAGAGUGUUCAAAGCAGGCCUAUGCUCGAAUACAUUAGCAUGGAAUAAUAGAAUAGGACGUGUGGUUCUAUUUUGUUGGUUAUGGGACCGCCGUAAUGAUUAAUAGGGACAGUCGGGGGCAUCAGUAUUCAAUAGUCAGAGGUGAAAUUCUCGGAUUUAUUGAAGACUAACUACUGCGAAAGCAUUUGCCAAGGAUGUUUUCAUUAAUCAGGAACGAAAGUUAGGGGAUCGAAGACGAUCAGAUACCGUCGUAGUCUUAACCAUAAACUAUGCCGACUAGGGAUCGGGCGAUGUUAUUUUUUGACUCGCUCGGCACCUUACGAGAAAUCAAAGUCUGUGGGUUCCUGGGGGAGUAUGGUGGCAACGCUGAAACUUAAAGAAAUUGACGGAAGGGCACCACCAGGAGUGGAGCCUGCGGCUUAAUUUGGCCCAACACGGGGAAACUCACCAGGUCCAGACACAAUGAGGAUUGACAGAUUGAGAGCUCUUUCUUGAUUUUGUGGGUGGUGGUGCGUGGCCGUUCUUAGUUGGUGGAGUGAUUUGUCUGCUUAAUUGCGAUAACGAACGAGACCUUAACCUGCUAAAUAGCCCGCG